AGUGUGUGUGUGAGUGUGUGAGUGUGUGUGAGAGUGUGUGUGUGAGAGUGUGUGUGAGUGUGAGUGUGUGUGUGUGUGUGUGUGUGUGCAUGUUUUCUGCCCCCCGGUGGUCAGAUGUUGCCAUCACAGCAUCAUCAGCAGCAGGUGGAGGCCGUGUGAGCGAGGGAACACCUGACCCACCUGAGAAGAACCGACAGACACGAGAGAGACGCGGCGGUUUGAACCGAACACACCCGAUGUCUGACGAAGACUGCGCGACGCUCUCGAAAGCACCGCAACAAGCAACACAGACUCUCAGCUGAUAAAUGCACCUCAUGACAGAUCUGACUGCGGAGGGUCGAUGUUUCUCAUGUGACCUCUAAGACGCUGCGGUUCGUACGAGGCGACGAAUACGAGGAAACUCACAUGUAUGAUCUUCCCAGUGGCUCCUGAAUGCAGCAGCAGGUCUUCCUUCCCAUCAUCACCUCAGUGUUCCAGCUGUGUCGGGAGUCACCGGGCUCCGGCGGCGGCUGUGGCGAGCUGCUGCAGGGGGGAGAGGGUGGUGGCAGAUGGCGGCGGCCCCGGUGGGAACCAAACGGCCACUUCGACUGCCACCCCUGCCGAGAGGUGAGGGGUUUCCUGCGCAGAGCAACAGGGGCGAGAAUGAUGUGGAGGGUGAGCCGGGCCUCGCCUCGACAUCCAUCAGGGCUCAGUGUUAAUGAGGGGAGGGGGGAGGAAGGGAGGCGGGGGAGACACGAUGAGGGAACAUGGAGGUGAAAGAAGACAGGAACAGGUGAAGGAGCGAGGGAGGUGAGGCUCAGGGGGGAGAUGAGGAGGAGAGAGGUGAGAGAUAUUAGUGAUGGUGAUAAAUAAGAAAACAACAGGAGGCAGAGAGCAGAGAGAGAAGGGAUGAUGCAGCAAGAAAGAAGAGUUAAACAAAAAGACAAGAAGAGAAGAAGACAGAGGGCGAGACUAAAUGAUGGAAGACAGAGAGAUGAAUAUCAGGAAAAAGAGUUCAGACCUACUGCGCCCAACAAUUCCCUGAAUUUGUUGUUUUCAUAAAAUGCUAAAAGUUGUUAAAGUCAAAUCAUAACUCACUGGGACUCGUGCAAGAAUCACUAGUGCAAACCGAUUCCCACAGAUUUUCUUGUACGAAUUAAAUUUAUGAGUUGUCCAGACUCAUCGUACGAAUGUCGACCUCGCAGUUUGACUUCAGCAUCAUAAUGCCUUCAUUACGAAUGAAUUUGGAGUUUAAAUGUUACAGAAAUCAACCCAAAUAAUAAUAAAAGAUUAAACUAAUAUUCUAAAGUUUUCGAAAGUAAAAGUACUCAUUAGGCAGCAGAAUGGCCUCAUCGUGUGCAAUAUAAUCUAAAUUAUCAGAUUAGUAGUACUAAUGUAUCACAUGUAAGCGGUAUUUUAAUAUUGUAGCUGGUCGAGGUGGAUUUUCAACUACCACACUUUAUAUACUUUUUAAGUUUAACCCUUAAUAUAUCGUUUUGGAAACUCUAUAGGUUUUCUGUGUAAAGUGUGAAUCUGGAAAUAACUGAAGCUGUCAGAUUAAUGUAGUGGCGUAGAAGUAUGAAGUAGCUUAAAAUGGAAGUACAAUUUUUACGCACUUUACUUAAGUCCAUAGGUCGACUACGUACUUAGUUACUUUCCUGGUAUUCUGCCGUCCAUCUCUGUGACAUCACACCAGCUUGAUCGCCUCCCACUUACGUUAUGGGGCGCUUUGAUUUAAAAAGACGUUUCUUGUCAUCUAACUUAAUGUCGAAGCAUCGACAGAGGUAAUAUUUUGUCACUCGUACUGACACGACUACAUUUGUUACGUUUUCGGCUGCUGAUUUCUGACAGCAGGACUGACUGCAGCUCUGCAGUGUGAAAUUCUUCGUUUUAUACUCUUGGUAACAUUUUUGUGAAUGAAACUUGCCCACAAACAGAGCAGAAGAGGCAGCCUUGUAUUAAAUCUGACGAUGUCGCACCCACUCAGGAACUGGUGACAUUCAUCAAGUCGAAACAAUUUACUGAAUCUGGUUUAAAAUAAAAAAUAUGACAAUGUUCGUGCACAGGCCCACUGUCGCCCUGUGGACAGGUGUUCCUCAGGGCUCGACUUCGGGCUCCUGUCAGUUUCGGACGCACAGAAACUUCUCCAACUUUAGAGGAAGAGAAGAAAAAGCUGCCUGCGAUCAGAAGUUAUCCUCCGUCCCUCCAGGAGCUUCACUCCAUCACCUCUCCCAUCAUGCCUCACCUGACAGAACAUUACUGAUGCAUUAUGGGAUCUGAGGGAGGAGGCAGAGGGGACGCAGAGCUUCAUGAAUAUUUGAUAAAACAUGAGACGACCAAACGGAGGUCGUCAGGAGACGAGGAGGGUCAUCAAUAUUACAUCAGAGCGCCACAUGGAUCCUGCAUGGAGGAAACUCGCUCUCUUUAUUUCUUUUCUUUGUUUCAGGGAAAUUCAGGGAAGUUGGACCAAAAACAUAGUUUCACAGAGAGAAAAGAGUUUAUCCUCAGCCCACCUCACACUGCUGUUUCUUCUUCUGGUUGGAUCAGAAAACCACAGAAGAAGAGUUUGUUCGCUCUUUGUGGUAUUUCAACACUUUCAAACAGUAAUAAUGUGCGUGAUUUACUGUUCUCACACCACAAAGUGACAGUGAAAUUCAUUUGUGUCUUUGGGAUAAUAAGCGAUGCUAGUAGCUUGGUGACGUAGCGACUACUCGCAGGGCUAGCGGCCAAGCUAACGGGACAGUGAGUUCACAUACAGUUCUUUAUUCAGAAAACAUUAUGACGUCCUCCUGACUCCCAACUGUGUGUGAACCAGCAGUUUAUACUCUGACAGAGGAGCUUCAAUACAACUGCAUGGUGACGCUCAGCUAAUAAGCUACAAUAGCGUCCUCCAUUUUGGACUCUCCGGCUCUCCGUCCCCUCGGAGCAAAGUCGUGUGUCGAAGUUCACCAAAGUUUAAUUUGACACCAAACAAACUGUGGGGAUUUGCUUCGUUCCCACGAGUGAUUCCAUCGAAAUUAGCCGAUCUCUAAAUGCUGCUGUGACCGAACCUUUGCUCAACCUGCAGCGGAUCAUGUGAUCCGUCAGCUGAUCUGAGCGCAGGUCUGAUGAUAACUCUCCUCUGUCUUAUAUUUAAGUCGUAAAUAAGUUUCCCAUCAGGUCAGUGUUGGUUUGUCCCUCUGAGGCUUCCC